rnacentral:tRNA from 1 species
GGAGGUAUGGCUGAGUGGCUUAAGGCAUUGGUUUGCUAAAUCGACAUACAAGAAGAUUUGAUCAUGGGUUCGUCUUGCAGAGCCUCCG